UACGGGGGGGGUAAGCGUUGUUCGGAAUUACUGGGCGUAAAGGGCUCGUAGGCGGCCAACUAAGUCGGACGUGAAAUCCCUCAGCUUAACUGGGGAACUGCGUCUGAUACUGGAUGGCUUGGAUUUGGGAGAGGGAUGCGGAAUUCCAGGUGUAGCGGUGAAAUGCGUAGAUAUCUGGAGGAACACCGGUGGCGAAGGCGGCAUCCUGGACCAAUAUUGACGCUGAGGAGCGAAAGCCAGGGGAGCAAACGGG
rnacentral:rRNA from 1 species